rnacentral:rRNA from 1 species
GACGAACGCUGGCGGCGUGCCUAAUACAUGCAAGUAGAACGCUGAAGGAGGAGCUUGCUUCUCUGGAUGAGUUGCGAACGGGUGAGUAACGCGUAGGUAACCUGCCUGGUAGCGGGGGAUAACUAUUGGAAACGAUAGCUAAUACCGCAUAAUAUUGACUAUUGCAUGAUAGUCAGUUGAAAGGUGCAACUGCACCACUACCAGAUGGACCUGCGUUGUAUUAGCUAGUUGGUGGGGUAACGGCUCACCAAGGCGACGAUACAUAGCCGACCUGAGAGGGUGAUCGGCCACACUGGGACUGAGACACGGCCCAGACUCCUACGGGAGGCAGCAGUAGGGAAUCUUCGGCAAUGGACGGAAGUCUGACCGAGCAACGCCGCGUGAGUGAAGAAGGUUUUCGGAUCGUAAAGCUCUGUUGUAAGAGAAGAACGAGUGUGAGAGUGGAAAGCUCACACCGUGACGGUAUCUUACCAGAAAGGGACGGCUAACUACGUG